UCUUAGGUACCUGCUGGAGAUCAGCAGGAGCAUUGGGGAUUUGACGAGAUAUUAUUAAACACCCCGACUUUUCUUUCCACAAUGAUUUCUCAGCAGCCUAUUUCACCCCCUCUCCAGGAAUAUUUAAGGAGACAUUUCCUUAUGAUCCCACAGCAUACCAUUCACUUUCGAUAUGACUUUCCUUUCUCGUAAACCCUCUUUCCUUUUGUCUGUAAAAAUUACAGAUAACUCACCGGGAUUUCCCCACAACGUUCGUAUAAAUAGGCUACAACGUGUUCCCAUUCCCAUUGUCAGUGAACCAUGCGCUAUGGCACCGAUACGCACACACGCACGCUCGCACGGCGGCUGGUCAGGCUUCUUCUCCCACCAUUCUGUAUCAUCUCAUGUAGUAAAUAUUGGUGAAUGUUUGACUCUGCUGUGAGACUCGGAGACUCCGACGCAGCUCGUGGCAACAACAAUGAAGAGAACAGGACGUUUUAAUAGAGACACAACUCAUCAGUUUAACAUCGUUUCAUCAACACUAAACCUUCUCUAAUAGCUGACAGAGCUGACGGAUGUUUGCUGACGGAUGUUUGCUGACGGAUGUUUGCCGACGGUUGUUUGCUGAUGGAUGUUGCUUUGCGACAAACACGUGGAUCGUAACGUGACGGGAUUUUUUUCAGGACUGAUGAAGCUGGUAAUGAAAAGUGUACAAGAACUGACUUAUAAUGACUUAAUAAACCGUAUGAACUUCA